UACGUAGGGGGCAAGCGUUGUCCGGAUUUAUUGGGCGUAAAGAGCGUGUAGGCGGCCAGGUAGGUCUGCUGUGAAAACUCGAGGCUUAACCUCGAGCUGUCGGCGGAAACCAUCUGGCUAGAGUCCGGAAGAGGAGAAUGGAAUUCCCGGUGUAGCGGUGAAAUGCGCAGAUAUCAGGAGGAACACCUAUUGCGAAGGCAGCUCGCUGGGACGUUACUGACGCUGGAGACGCGAAAGCGUGGGGAGCAAACAGG
rnacentral:rRNA from 1 species